UUAGAGUUUGAUUCCUGGCUCAGAACGAACGCUGGUGGCGCGCCUAAUACAUGCAAGUCGAGCGAGAAGACGUAGCAAUACGUUUGUAAAGCGGCGAACGGGUGGGGAAUACAUGGGUAACCUACCCUCGAGUGGGGAAUAACUAACCGAAAGGUUAGCUAAUACCGCAUACGACUCCUGGUCUGCGGAUCGGGAGGGAAAGCGAUACCGUGGGUAUCGCGCUCUUGGAUGGGCUCAUGUCCUAUCAGCUUGUUGGUGAGGUAACGGCUCACCAAGGCUUCGAGGGGUAGCUGGUCUGAGAGGACGAUCAGCCACACUGGCACUGCGACACGGGCCAGACUCCUACGGGAGGCAGCAGUAAGGAAUAUUGCGCAAUGGGCGACAGCCUGACGGAGCGACGCCGCGUGCAGGAGGAAGUCCCUCGGGAUGUAAACUGCUGUCAGGGGACGGAAAGCACUGAUCGACCCCAGAGAAGC
rnacentral:rRNA from 1 species